GACGAACGCUGGCGGCGCGCUUAACACAUGCAAGUCGAACGGAAAGGCCUGCUUUCCCUUGUGGAUUGCGGGUACUCGAGUGGCGAACGGGUGAGUAACACGUGAGUGAUCUGCCCCCAACUUGGGUAUAAGCCUGGGAAACUGGGUCUAAUUCCCGAUAGGACUGCAGGGUGGAGCCUGUGGUGGAAAACGAUUUUCUAGUGGUUGGGGAUGAGCUCGCGGCCUAUCAGCUUGUUGGUGGGGUAAUGGCCUACCAAGGCGGCGACGGGUAGCCGGCCUGAGAGGGUGGACGGCCACAUUGGGACAGAGAUACGGCCCAGACUCCUACGGGAGGCAGCAGUGGGGAAUAUUGCACAAUGGGCGGAAGCCUGAUGCAGCGACGCCGCGUGGGGGAUGACGGCCUUCGGGUUGUAAACUCCUUUCGACCGCGAGGAAGCCACCUGGUUGGAAGGGUGGUGACGGUAGUGGUAGAAGAAGCACCGGCUAACUACGUG
rnacentral:rRNA from 1 species